UACGGAGGGUGCGAGCGUUGUCCGGAAUCAUUGGGCGUAAAGGGCGCGUAGGUGGCUGUGUAAGUCUGCUGUCAAAGAGCGAAGCUCAACUUCGUAAAGGCAGUGGAAACUACACGGCUAGAGUGCGUUCGGGGCAGAGGGAAUUCCUGGUGUAGCGGUGAAAUACGUAGAUAUCGAGAGGAACACCUGCGGCGAAGGCGGGUUGCUGGGCCGACACUGACGCUGAUGCGCGAAAGCCAGGGGAGCGAACGGG
rnacentral:rRNA from 1 species